ensembl:lncRNA
CCUGUCUGUCAAGAGUCUGCUGUGUUUCUCUCUAACAGUAGUUAACAAAGAAACGAAAAUAAAGGAUCACCUUGUAAACACACAGGAUGGCCAAGAGCCCUCCAGACCAAAAUAAUGUUAUCAAAGAUGUCCAAGGAUCUGCAAAUAAGAGGCAAGAUUCCUCAGACAGGCUGCACCAGCGUGAAAAAUCUCCUUUCAAGAAACAGACUUCGCUAUUAGUUCUCAAUGCACCAAAAAGUCAGCAGUGGUAGCUCCGCCUCCUCUCCUCCCCCAAAAGAAAUCUUCCUCGACUUACAAUGGAGUUACAUCCUGAUUUGCCCAUCAUACGUUGAAAAUAUCUCGACAGUGGAAGCAACAACGGGUAGGUGUGCUCCAGGAUGUGUGGUUUCAGUGGAUGCUCCUAAUGCAAGCAAAGAAGGGACUGUAAAUAAAGCAGACGUGCAGAUGCUACUACUGUGAGAAGCGCUGGGUCUUUUCCCUAAUGCUCAGUGAAUCCCCAUGACUCCAGGACACUCUUGACUUCCAGCCAAUACAUCACAGUCUUCCCCUGCAAUGGCUACAGAGAGAGGUUAAAAAAAAUAGCCCACAAGAGUGCUCUUUCCUUCUCUCUCUGCUCCUUCAGCUCCAAGAAUAGACUCAUUGACGAAGUGUGUCUCUGUGUGUCUGUCUGUUACCCCAUGAUGCAUGCUGCUUCUUAUCCUGUUCUUGGGCCUUUCCUAGAAACGACCUCAGGCAGAGAACUGAAAAUUAAGCAGAAGGAGAAGGGACUAAAGCUACUUCCCAAGAAUAGUUUCAACAAUAAUUACGGCAGUGACGAACGUGCUGUCUGGGGAAAUGUUUGGGAACCUUCAACCCCUUGCGCACAGGCACACAGUUAGUGAGGGGCGUGCAGCCCAUUCACGGGCUGUCUGAUUCUGACAGCUGAGUUCUUACACAGGGCAUCAUCCUAAGCUCAAAAAUGUCAGUUGGAAAGGAAGAAAUCAGCAUAGCGUUAUGUGCAGAGCGAGUGCCUAUAUCGAUGAGAAUCGGAAAGAGAGCCUCUCCAUGCUUCUCCACCUGCUCCGUGUCCAGGACACUGACCUGUCUCACCUGCUGCAACUCCUAUCUCUUUCUGCACCUGAUGCUCUCCAUCAGGGUUCCAGUAACUCUCCUGUGUCCCUUCAGGCUGGGGUGGAAAUGCUCCCCACCCUGCAUGGCUGCUAUGGCUUCCCUGCGUGCUGCCCACACCUUGAACAUCAUUUCUUCAUUAAACUCUCCUAUGUUACCCAUUUUAAGGCUUCCACCUGUUUCUUGCCAAUACCCUGACUGAUUCACACUUACAAUAUUACAUUACAAAUAGAAAAUCUACAUUGCACCUACAUUCUGACUGUCAAGAAUUUCUAUACCCCGCAAAUACUAUAAAGGUCCUCCCUCCCUCCAUAAAACUUCCCCUCCCACUCUGUCCUUUCUCCAGCAGAUGCCACACACUCCACACUUCACACUCACAGCUUUGUUUUCUGCUCUUCCUUCUGUGGCUCUCGAUCCAUAUGGUGAUGCCCCUAACCCUCCGUCUCCCACCUCACUCCCACCGUUAU